rnacentral:rRNA from 1 species
CCUACGGGAGGCAGCAGUGAGGAAUAUUGGUCAAUGGACGAGAGUCUGAACCAGCCAAGUAGCGUGAAGGAUGACUGCCCUAUGGGUUGUAAACUUCUUUUAUAUGGGAAUAAAAUGUUCCACGUGUGGGAUUUUGUAUGUACCAUAUGAAUAAGGAUCGGCUAACUCCGUGCCAGCAGCCGCGGUAAUACGGAGGAUCCGAGCGUUAUCCGGAUUUAUUGGGUUUAAAGGGAGCGUAGGUGGAUUGUUAAGUCAGUUGUGAAAGUUUGCGGCUCAACCGUAAAAUUGCAGUUGAAACUGGCAGUCGUGAGUACAGUAGAGGUGGGCGGAAUGCGUGGUGUAGCGGUGAAAUGCUUAGAUAUCACGAAGAACACCGAUUGCGAAGGCAGCUCACUGGACUGCAACUGACACUGGGGCUCGAAAGUGUGGGUAUCAAACAGGAUUAGAUACCCUUGUAGUC